CUGAAGCUUUAAACAAAUACGGAGCUAACUGUGGUCCUGAAGCCGUCUGGUUCAAGGUUUUUGUUUUUUUUUUGCUACUUCUCAUAUUUAACUUCAGUUUACUUAGAUUCUAUAACAGUAAUUCAAGAAGUUGGUUAUGUGAUGGAUACAGACUGGUGCUCUGCUUCUUGAUGGAAACACAUUGAACUACUUUGGCAAGAACAUCCCAAUCAACCUUGUUCUCGCCGUAGUUGCUGAGGUUGUUCUCCUCGGUGGAGCCGAGUACUACAGAAUCACCAACGGAUUGGUACAUUACUCUAACAUUUAAGCUAUUAUACUCAUUUUAAAUUCAUCAUGUGGAAAACAACUAAACUUGAAAUGCAAUAACUUUGGCAGGAUUUUGAGGACAAGCUACACCCCGGAGGUCCAUUUGAUCCUUUAGGACUUGCUAAGGACCCCGAACAAGGAGCUCUCCUCAAGGUUAAAGAGAUCAAGAACGGGAGAUUAGCCAUGUUUGCGAUGCUCGGUUUCUUCAUCCAAGCUUAUGUUACUGGAGAAGGUCCUGUUGAGAACCUUUCAAAGCAUCUCAGUGAUCCUUUUGGAAACAAUUUGCUUACCGUCAUAGCUGGAACCGCUGAGAGAGCUCCUACACUUUAAGCCAUUUCUAGUUUAUUAAAGAGCUUUGUAGACUUUGUUUGAUGACAAUUUCUAUUGACACUGUGAAAACAAACUUCCAUCUUCAUCUUCUUGAUAUACUACAAUGGUUUUAUCAUAUGCUUCUAAGAAAAUAACAAUGCAUGAUAACUACAAUAAACUAAUCAAUGUUGUAUUUUUAUUCAUUCCAACAUUAAAUAUAUAUUUGAGUUUUGUGAAGCAAUUUGCUCCCAAACAUAAAAAUGAAAUAAAUAAAGCAUGUAAUGAAGAACUAAACACAUACACAAACACUUUCAUAAGACAUAUAACAUCUAUUUAGAAUAACCCCAGAAAUCCAUCUCACUGCGCAACGAAAGCUGAUUCGUCUCAGGAACUGGCUGGACAACAGACGAAGAAUUGUUGUUACCAUCCUCAAACCUAAUCCCUCUAGAGGAAUCUUCAUUUCCCAUAUGACAAGUCACAAGCCUGUCCAUCAUUGACCAUUCACCUAAACCUUGUUGAUGGUUAUGACUAGCCAAUGUCUCGCACGUCCCAACCUCUAAACCUGGCUCACACGCUUGCUGGUAUUGUAACCCUUCACUAGCCGCACUUUCGCAAUCCCUUGGAAGCCCUGCAGAGUAGUCAAACCCAAGGGAAGGUGGCUUGUGGAAGAUUGGUGGGUAUUGAUGAAGUGUCAGGUCAGGCUUGUUGAGUUCGAAUGUCGUGGCUCCGUGGUUACGUACUAGCUGGUAAGGACUGUCUCGGUGCAUGAAGCUACGAGCUUGGAGCGAGUUGUUGUUGUUGGACGCAUCAUGAUUGCAUUGGUCCGUUGAGUUAAUGCUUGAGCCUCCUCCAGUCACUACCUUGAACAAAUUCUUCUUCAUGAAUACCCUACAAACCACCCAUCCGUCUUCCUACAACAUCAAAUAAUAUAUGUAGCAAAUGGAUUAAAUACAAAAGACCAACUUCCUAACCAGUUAGAUGAAUAUAAUGCAUCAUAAUUCUCAAACUAUUUUAAGAUUGCAAAUUUUUUUAAUCAAAAUGUUGCACAGAGAAUUUUGUAGAAAUCAAUCUAUAUACGUAAUGAAAAUAGUUUAAAACCAGAGAUUAUAAACUAACACCGUAAAUCGCGUAAGAAGGUUCUAGUGAUAAUUAUAUAUGGUAUAGUUUCUUGAUUAUAUUGUCUAGAUUAUAGUCUAAAGAUUGUUCAAAUGAAAAACAUACACUAGGAUUGCCUUGAGGAUCAUCAGUAUCUUCAAGCCGAUACUCAUGCAUGAUCCAGUCAGUCUUUUGGCCAUGAGGAGCUCUUCCUUUGUAGAACACAAGGGUCUUUCUCAUUCCUAUUUUCUUGUAAGAGUUCCUUAUACACUUGUCUCGUCCUGUUGCCUUCCAGAACCCUGCAUGAGUUGCACGGUUGGUCCUUGAACCCGUUGGGUAUUUCCUAUCCUUGUGGCUGAAGAAAUACCAUUCGUUCUGCGGUGUUGACCCUAUCUUACAUCUCUCUGCGUUUUUUAAAAAAACUACAAAGUUAGAAAUAUCCAAAAUAGUGUUCAGUUAUAUCCGAUAAUCAAGAAAUGGAACAACUAUCAAGAUUUAUGAGUUUUUUUAUCUCAAAAAUCAACAAUUAGUGAAAUCAAUAUGGAUGUGAGAUUUAUAAUAAGCAUUAUAUUGUGAUAUGUUGUUCAAAAUGGGUUAAAUAAGUAAAUAGUACCUUGUAAAUCCCAAGGCUCGAGCUUGUUUAAGUCAACCUCUCUGAUAACUUCCAUCUCAAACUUAUGAUAAGAGAUUUUCUUCUUUAGGUAGUAAUGGAGAAGCUCUUCGUCUGUCGGAUGAAACUGAAACCCAGGUGGCACUCCUCCGUUCGACGACGAACCCAUUUCGGUUUAUUUUCGUGAUUACGCUUCUCAAUAUUUAAGCACUGCCUUUCUUUCUAAGCUGCUAUAACUUCUUGAUUAUAAUUAUAUACACACACUCACACGUUAAUUGUCAACGGAGUUAAAUAAAUUGUAUAUAAGUGUAUGAUGAUGCAUGUUGCUAUUGAUGAUGAUGUUGACGGCCGGUGACCACGCCGCCGGAGAUGCUCUAAAGCUAUCUUAAAAAGCAAGACUCGCCGGAGAUUAAUAUGAAUUUUAGUUUAAUAUAAUGUCUCUAGCGCGCCUUGUGUUGCAGCGUUUGGUACACUUGCGUACAAUUGACUGCCCCAUGUUCUCUACGCCAAUGUUGACUUAUUAUCAUUUAUGAACGAUCCCGAUAAAAAUUUAAACACUAUAUUAUUAGUAUCAUUAACCCCGUAUUCACGUUUGAUUGCUCUGUAAGCUAAAGAAUCAUAUGGCCUGGGAAUGGGGAUCUUCAACUUGGAUCAUAUGGUUGAUCAUGUUUACGUAUACACACCUAGAUAGUAUUUAAUUAAUAAGAAAAUUAAAGAGGAAUAACGUAGAGAGAGAUAUGAAAUAAAGCAAGAAUAUGGAUCAUAUAUUCAUAUGAGGUUAAAACAUGCAUAUGAAUAUGCCAUGCACUAGGCAAUAGCCAAGGUUAAGGCUUUUAUUCAUCACAUGUGCCUAUCUACGACCUCCGAUUCUUUCUGAUUUAUUUCGGUUCUCUAACCUUCAAGCUUUCUAUCUGUUUUGUUAACUUGAUGCAUUGAUUCAAGCAAGCAAUAAUGACAGAAAUUAGGUUCACCCCUUGAGGUUAACCUUUAAAUUCACUCCACCCUUUAUGACCAAUCAAAGUGACACAUAGAUUAUUAAUUAAAAAAUAUUAAAUUAAACAAAAAAUAGCUACAAAAAAUAAAAACGCUAAUUUUAACGACGCUACGCUUCCAGCUAAACCCUAAACCCUAAAUAUUAAAUUCUAAACCCUAUACCCUAAAUUCUAAACCCAAAUCCAAACCCCUAAACCCAAACCCUAUACUCUAAACCCUAAUCCUAGACCCUAAACCCAAAUUAUAUAUCCUAAACCCAAAAACUAGACUAUAAACCUAAAUUCUAUACCCUAAACUCAAACCCUAUACCCUAAACACAAACCGUAAACCUUAAACCCAAAUUAUAUAUCCUAAACCCAAAACAUUAACUAUAAGUCCAAACGGUAAAUCCUAAACCCAAACCGUAAAUCCUAAACCUAAACCCUAUACCCUAAACCCAAGUCUUAGACUCUAAACCCAAACCGUAAACCUUAACCCAAACCCUAUAGCAUCUAAGUUUGGGAUUUGAUUUUAGGGUUUACCAUUUGGGUUUUAGGUUUAGGAUUUGGGUUUAGGGUAUAGGUUUUGGGUUUAGGAUUUACGGUUUGGGUUUAGGAUUUACCGUUUGGACUUAUAGUUAAUGUUUUGGGUUUAGGAUAUAUAAUUUGGGUUUAAAGUUUACGGUUUGGGUUUAGGGUCUAGGACUUGGGUUUAUGGUAUAGAGUUUAGGUUUAUAGUCUAGUUUUUGGGUUCAGGGUAUAUAAUUUGGAUUUAGGAACUACUUUGGCAAGAACAUCCCAAUCAACCUUGUUCUCGCCGUAGUUGCUGAGGUUGUUCUCCUCGGUGGAGCCGAGUACUACAGAAUCACCAACGGAUUGGUACAUUACUCUAACAUUUAAGCUAUUAUACUCAUUUUAAAUUCAUCAU
rnacentral:lncRNA from 1 species